rnacentral:rRNA from 1 species
AGGUUACUGCUAUCGGUGUUCGCCUAAGCCAUGCGAGUCAUAUGUUCUUCGUGAACAUGGCGUACUGCUCAGUAACACGUGGAUAACCUGCCCUUGGGUCCGGCAUAACCCCGGGAAACUGGGGAUAAUUCCGGAUAACGCACAUAUGCUGGAAUGCUUUAUGCGUCAAAUGGAUUCGUCCGCCCAAGGAUGGGUCUGCGGCCUAUCAGGUAGUAGUGGGUGUAAUGUACCUACUAGCCUACGACGGGUACGGGUUGUGAGAGCAAGAGCCCGGAGAUGGAUUCUGAGACAUGAAUCCAGGCCCUACGGGGCGCAGCAGGCGCGAAAACUUUACAAUGCGGGAAACCGUGAUAAGGGGACACCGAGUGCCAGCAUCAUAUGCUGGCUGUCCGGGUGUGUAAAAUACACCUGUUAGCAAGGGCCGGGCAAGACCGGUGCCAGCCGCCGCGGUAACACCGGCGGCCCGAGUGGUGAUCGUGAUUAUUGGGUCUAAAGGGUCCGUAGCCGGUUUGGUCAGUCCUCCGGGAAAUCUGACGGUUUAACCGUUAGGCUUUCGGGGGAUACUGCCAGACUUGGAACCGGGAAAGGUAAGAGGUACUACAGGGGUAGGAGUGAAAUCUUGUAAUCCCUGUGGGACCACCUGUGGCGAAGGCGUCUUACCAGAACGGGUUCGACGGUGAGGGACGAAAGCUGGGGGCACGAACCGGAUUAGAUACCCGGGUAGUCCCAGCCGUAAACGAUGCUCGCUAGGUGUCAGGCAUGGCGCGACCGUGUCUGGUGCCGCAGGGAAGCCGUGAAGCGAGCCACCUGGGAAGUACGGCCGCAAGGCUGAAACUUAA